GUGGAAGCGAUUGAGGGCCGAAUUAUCUCGUCCAAUUUGGCAUGUCCAACAACCUGACAAUCUCAAGAUUGUGCAAUCUCACAGCUAACAAUCCAGCUAUCCGAUAUUCUUUUAUACAAACAACCAGAGCUCCGAGGAUUCAGGUAAGUCCGAUCAAAUCUCUCCCAUAGAAUCCAUUGCUGCUCUUUUGUUCUCUAUUUUUUUGACUUGAGCGUCGAAGGGUCCUCGCCAGAGCCACAACCUUCGAUUUGGGACUUAUUUUGUAGGUG
rnacentral:lncRNA from 1 species